UGCGCAGGUGGGCUUGUAAGUCAGUGGUGAAAUACUGCCGCUUAACGGUAGAACUGCCAUUGAUACUGCAAGUCUUGAGUAUGGUUGAGGUAGGCGGAAUGUGUUGUGUAGCGGUGAAAUGCAUAGAUAUGACACAGAACUCCAAUUGCGAAGGCAGCUUACUAAGCCAUUACUGCCGCUGAGGCACGAAAGCGUGGGGAGCGAACAGGAUUAGAUACCCUGGUAGUCC
rnacentral:rRNA from 1 species